GACGAACGCUGGCGGCGUGCUUAACACAUGCAAGUCGAGCGGAAAGGCCCUUUCGGGGGUACUCGAGCAGCGAACGGGUGAGUAACACGUGAGUAAUCUGCCCUUGGCUUUGGGAUAACCACCGGAAACGGUGGCUAAUACCGGAUACGACCACUCCCGGCAUCGGGUGGUGGUGGAAAGUUUUUUCGGCCCGGGAUGUGCUCGCGGCCUAUCAGCUUGUUGGUGGGGUAAUGGCCUACCAAGGCUUCGACGGGUAGCCGGCCUGAGAGGGUGACCGGCCACACUGGGACUGAGACACGGCCCAGACUCCUACGGGAGGCAGCAGUGGGGAAUAUUGGACAAUGGGCGGAAGCCUGAUCCAGCAACGCCGCGUGAGGGAUGACGGCCUUCGGGUUGUAAACCUCUUUCAGUACCGACGAAGCGCCGAUGAUGGCGGUGACGGUAGGUACAGAAGAAGCACCGGCCAACUACGUGCCAGCCGCCGCGGUAA
rnacentral:rRNA from 1 species